rnacentral:rRNA from 1 species
UGGCCUUGACAUUGAAAGAAUCCGGUAGAGAUACUGGAGUGCCUCUUUGAGGAGCUUGAAAACAGGUGCUGCACGGCUGUCGUCAGCUCGUGUCGUGAGAUGUUGGGUUAAGUCCCGCAACGAGCGCAACCCUCGUCACUAGUUACUAACGGUUCGGCCGAGGACUCUAGUGAGACUGCCUUCGCAAGGAGGAGGAAGGUGAGGACGACGUCAAGUCAUCAUGGCCCUUACGGCCAGGGCAACACACGUGCUACAAUGGUUAGGACAAUGAGAGGCGAUACCGCGAGGUGGAGCAAAUCUAUAAACCUAAUCUCAGUUCGGAUUGUAGUCUGCAACUCGACUACAUGAAGCUGGAAUCACUAGUAAUCGUAGAUCAGCUAUGCUACGGUGAAUACGUUCCCGGGUCU